rnacentral:tRNA from 1 species
GUUUACAUAGUUUAAAUAAAACAUUACAUUUUCAUUGUAAAGUUAGAAAAUUUUCUUGUAAAUA